rnacentral:rRNA from 1 species
GAUGAACGCUGGCGGCGUGCUUAACACAUGCAAGUCGAACGAUGAAGCCCAGCUUGCUGGGUGGAUUAGUGGCGAACGGGUGAGUAACACGUGAGUAACCUGCCCUUGACUCUGGGAUAAGCCUGGGAAACUGGGUCUAAUACUGGAUAUGACUUCUCAUCGCAUGGUGGGGGGUGGAAAGAUUUAUUGGUCUUGGAUGGUCUCGCGGCCUAUCAGCUUGUUGGUGAGGUAAUGGCUCACCAAGGCGACGACGGGUAGCCGGCCUGAGAGGGUGACCGGCCACACUGGGACUGAGACACGGCCCAGACUCCUACGGGAGGCAGCAGUGGGGAAUAUUGCACAAUGGGCGCAAGCCUGAUGCAGCGACGCCGCGUGAGGGAUGACGGCCUUCGGGUUGUAAACCUCUUUCAGUAGGGAAGAAGCGAGAGUGACGGUACCUGCAGAAGAAGCGCCGGCUAACUACGUG